GAUUCAGUUACUCUGCUCAGAUAUUCCUGGUAUUUUCUUAAACUGAUAACCUUGUGUCUUUCAUCUACUGACAUGCCCAGCUGAUAUUGCAAAUGCUCCUACUGCUUCUGUUCUUACAGCCUCCACUUCCAAUUCAACUUCCACUGGACCACUUCAUUCGGUUUCAUUCAUUCUAAAGCUCAGGGUCUUAUUUGGAAGAUCAGGCAGAAACUUUGUAAUAACCAGUGCUGAUGGAUCACUUCGAGGAAACAGUGUCCACAAAUGAACUCAUAGAAGUUGUGGCAGCAUCUACAAGACCUGUACAUAUUCAAGCCAGAUGGAGUGUCAGCACUGAGAGUGGAAGUGAAUGUAGAGUCCCACCCCUAACCAAGAAACUUUCUGGAGUUGAUACCUACUGGCAAAGGGAAAAUCAGUUUUCUCCAGUGGAAUGCCUAUGGAUGUAUCAACCUCACACCAAGAGAAAAAAAGACAUUUUGGGAUGGAGAGGGAAGAGGAGAAGAUCUGGGAAGAUUGGAGGAGGGGAACACAUCAAAA